rnacentral:rRNA from 1 species
GCUCAAAUUUAAAAUCUCCCAGGUUCCCUGGGCGAAUUGUAGUUUCAAGAAGCGUAUUUCUGAGGUGGGCGCGGACCAAGUUUGCUGGAAGGCAACGCCAUAGAGGGUGAUAGCCCCGUAGGUCUCUGACUCCACUUCGUUUAUGAUUGCGUUUUCUAAGAGUCGUACAGUUUGAGAAUGCUGUGCUAAUUGGGAGGUAAAUAUCUUCUAAAGCUAAAUACUGGCGUGAGUCCGAUAGCGAACAAGUACCGUGAGGGAAAGAUGAAAAGAACUUUGAAAAGAGAGUUAAAUAGUACGUGAAAUUGUCUAAAGUGAAACGUUUGACUCCAGUAUCGGAUAGUGACGGACAGCCGCAAGGUGCAUUCGUUGCUCUCUGUGCCAGCGACACUUUGGUUUCCAGUAAAAGGUGCCAGGAAUGUAGGUCUUUCGGGACUGUUAUAGCCUGGUUUUCGGAUACUGGGGGCUGGAGUGAUGAUCGCCACUGCCUUGGGGAUCUCUGCUGCCUCUGCGUAACCAUUCAUGGACAACUUGUUGAUCAUGGGUGAAUUGCGAAGGGUCCGGUAGGGUACCACUUCUCAGUGUAGGUCGCUGGUGAAAUGGAUUUAAGCGACCCGUCUUGAAACACGGACCAAGGAGUUCUACAAAUGCGCGAGUCUUUGGGUGUUAAACCCGAGGGCGAAAUGAAAGUAAACGUAGGUGUGAUCCGCAAGGUGCAACAUCGACCGGACUGGAUUUUCUUGAAAGUUCUGAGUAAGAGCGCAUUUGCAGAGACCCGAAAGAUGGUGAACUAUACCUGAGUAGGGUGAAGUCAGAGG